rnacentral:lncRNA from 1 species
AAACAUAUAAAUAGACCUUUUGAUGAGGAUCAAUAAACUAUUACAAAAAACAAAAAUUCUCUUUCUCAAAAGAAUCAAUAGUGAAAAUAGUACAAUGGAUAUCUUUAAAACAUUUGUAACUAUUAUUCUUUUAGUAAUAUUGACUAUUUCGUUUUCUAACAACAAUAUUUUGGCAAAAACUGGUUAGUUUUGUUUUUCUAUUUGUUCUAUUUGUCUUUGUUCAAUUGACCGAGAAUUAUUGAAAUAUAUUUUUUUUAAUUAAAAGAAGUUUAGUUUUCUAGUUGUUUUAUCUUACAUAUAUAUAAACUUGGGUUUGUCUAUUUUCAGCGAACCAGGAAACUUAUCGUUGCAUUGAGCAUUGUCUACAAGUUUACGGAAAUAUGAAAUGUGAUAUGGACUGUAAAAAACAACAUUAUAUUGGAGGUGGUUGUGAUUAUCUCAUAAAAGGUCCAAAAACACCAUUAUGAUGUUGCUUCAAUGCUACAUAUCCGUUAACCCCAAUUUGAGUAUUGUAUUAUGCUAUUUAAAUGCAGUAAUAUAUCUACUAAUUACUAUUGUGUCAAAAUUGUAAGCUCUUUAAUAAUAAUAAUAAUAAUAAUAAUAAUAAUAAUAAUAAUAAUAAUAAUCAUAAUAAUAAUAAUAAUAAAACUAAAAUUAAUAUAAUUUUUUUUAAAAAAAUGUAUGUUUCCUAAAGCUUGGUUCUACAUUUGGAUGUGUGUUUCUUAACUCAUCUUGUUGCUCAGAAAUGAGAUAAACUCUGGUUUUAUGAUUCUCAUAAAUUUCCUAAUAAGUGAAUUAUAUUUUGUCUUUAUUAUGGAGGGAUUUUAGGAAGUUUGUUAAAUGUGAUUAGUUUUAUUUUUCUAAAUAUAAUAAUUAAUACCAAUGGCAUAGCCUUGUAACUUCCAACUCCAAGGUUUUUUUCAAAAAUUUCUGCAAAAAUGUUAAUGUAGAUUUUUUUUACGAAUUAUAUUAUCUGUUUCAUUCAUGGUCAUUUUUAUCAUUGAUUCAUUUCAAUACAAAAUAAAUAUUUGUAGUCAAAUUUGUAAUUAAGCUAGAUGGUAAAUUUAGUCGAACCUCAUACUUAAAUUGUACUUAAUAUUAAUAAAUAUAUAAUAUUGAUUUAUGGUAAUAACAAAUAAAAGACUAGUUGAAAUUUGAAUUUUUAGUUAAGAAAAAAACCCAUAUAGAUAGAGCUUAUGAUAAAGAUCUAUAAACUAUUACAAAAAAAAAAUAGAGAAAUAUUUUUCUCAAACGAAUUAAUAGGUGAAAGAAAUGGUACAAUGGAUAUCCCAAAAACAUUUAUGACUAUAUAGAAUUAAUAUUGGAAAUUUUGUUUUCUAGCAACAACAUUUUGGACCCAUAAAUGGUUAGUUUUUUUGAAUUUUUUCUUCUUGUCUUUGUUCAACUGAAGAGAAUUGUUGAAAUCUUUUUUCUUUUUUUUUUGUCAACAGCUUUUAUAAAUGGACUCAAUUGAGCCAAGAGUUAGGAACAUUGUUUACAUAGAGACAAAGUAGCGGUUCAACACGCGCUCGGCGUGCCAACUUAUCCGCUUGAAUAUUAGAGCAACGAGAGAUUUUCGCUAAAGAGAAAGAAAUAAACACUUCCCUGUCUGCUUGGAUCUCCUUAAGGUAUGUCGCGAACGCAGGCCAUUCUGUUGGGGAAGACACCAUCUCCACCAAAUCUGAGCAGUCUGUUAUAAAAGUCACUUCUCUACGGGAUGCAUCAAUCAUACACUUCAUCGCCCACACCAGUGCUUCUACUUCUGUGUGUAAAGGAGAUAGACUUCGUCGUAGAUUUGCCGCGCCCAUAGUAGAUGGUCCGCCCGAGGAGGUGCAAAACCAGCCCAAACCUGCAAAUUUAUCAUCAUCUUUCCAAGAGCAUCAAUAAAACAUGUAUCUCCACAAUCCCUGACCACUGAAACUUCUCCUGGGAAAGUAGACUGCCGUGGUGGGCCUUUAUUAUCCAUAAUUGCACCCUCCGCUUGGGCCGUUACCCAUAACCCAGCUUCACUUACAGCUUGACGUAAGACAUCCCUCACAUCCCUAUCUACAUUAUCAAAAACCUUUUCAUUCCUUGCCUUCCAAAUAUACCACAAUAUCCAAGGAAAGAUAGAGAUAUCCACUCCUUUGGGUGUCCGCCAAAAUAAAUAGUCCAUAUUCGCAUAAAUCGAGUCAGAUGGGAAAACCCCAAUUGCCGACGGCACUGGCGAUAGUGCCCAUACUUGCAAUGCUGGUGGGCAUUGAAAUAGUGUAUGAUUUACCGACUCCAACUCCCCACAUCUACUGCAGCUUGGAUCACAAUUCAAACCUCUACUUGCUAAAUUUUUAUUUACCGAAAUACAGCCAGAAAUCACCUGCCACAUAAAAUGUCGUAAUUUAGGUGGACAAUAAACUUUCCAUACAAAAGCCUGUAACUUAGAUAUAUCCGGACCAAAACGGGUAUCAGACCUAGUUUUCUGAGAUUGCUCUCUACCAGUAUAAUACCCAGACUUAACCGUAUAUUUGCCCGUUUUGGUGAAAUGCCAAAACAUUGAAUCUGAAUCUUGCGGAAACCGUAACGGGAUUGCACUUAUUAAGGAGACAUCCUCUGGGAUGAACAAGGCUUGAAGCAUUGUAAUCUUCCAAGAACAUGUCUGGGAAUCGAUCAACGAAUUGACAUUUAGAUUUAAGACCGAUUCAUCAAAUGAAUCGGUACGAAGGGCUGGCCUCGGGAAUUGAGCAGGUAUCCAUGGAUCUUCCCAAACUGAAAUGGUUUCUCCAUUACCUACUCUUUUAAUAAGUCCUUUACUAACCAGAGGUCGAGCUGAGACGAUACUUCUCCAUCCAUAAGAUGGAGAAUAUGAUUUAAUCAUUCCCAUUGGGUCUGAUUUCCGAUAAUAUCUUCCUUUAAAAACCUUGGCAAACAAACAAUCUGGGACACUUAUCAAGCGCCAGAGUUGCUUAGCCAGCAAUGCCGUAUUGAAUUCCUCGAUAUGCCGGAAUCCCAGCCCUCCAGCAGAUUUACUAGUACAUACUUUUUCCCAUGCCAACCAAUGCAUCCCUCCAGAUAGACCAUUUGAGCUCCACCAAUAUUUAGCAACCGCACAGGUAAGCUUAUUCGUCACUGUCUUGGGUAGUCGGAAACAAGACAUUACAUAAGUAGGCAGUGCUGCUGCUACCGAUUUAAUCAUCACUUCCUUACCACCUUUUGACAAGAACUUUGCUGUCCAGCCAUUUAUCCUCGUUUGAAGUCUAUCCUGAACAAACGCAAAAACUUUCGUUUUUGACCCUCCCAAGCUUUCUGGUAAUCCCAAGUAGGAUCCCAUGCCACCCAAAUUUGUGAUCCCUAGAACUGCCAUCAGUUCCGUUUUUAAACCAUUAUCAACCGUGUGCCCGAACUGAAUUGAAGAUUUUUGAAAAUUGAUUUGUUGGCCCGAAACCUUCUCAUACAGCUUUAAUAUCCGUAGAAUCACCUCACAUUGGUCCUGUUUCGCCUGACAGAAAAACAAACUAUCAUCCGCAAAUAACAGAUGUGAAAUAACAGAUGUUGAAAUCUUUUUUCUUAUAUAAAAUAAUUUUAAGCAUUUUAGUCAAAUUUAUAAUUAAGAUAGAUAAUAUAUUUAAUUAGUCAAAGCUCAUAUUAAAUUCUAGUCAAUCAUAGAAUAUUGAUAUGUAAUAAUGAAAAAAUGAGUUGUUGAAAUUUGAGAUUUUACUUAAGGACAAAAAACAUAUAAAUAGAGCUUCUAAUGAAAAUCUAUAAACUAUUAAAAAGGAUUCUUUUCCCUUAAAAUUAUUAAUAGUGAUAAUAGUACAAUGGAUAUCCUGAAAACAUUUGUCACUAUUUUCCUUGUAGUAAUAUUGACAAUUUCGUUUUCUCACAACAACAUUUUGGCAAAAUCUGGUUAGUUUUUUCUUUUUGUCUAUUUGUCUUUGUUCAAUCGACCGAGAAUUGUUGAAAUAUUUUUUCUGAAAUAAAAAGAAUAUAAGUAUUUUAGUUGUUAGUUUUUUUUAUCUUACUUAUAUAUAUAAAACUUGGGUUUGUCUAUUUUCAGUGGACCAGCAAAUUUAUCGUUGCAUUGAUCACUGUCCGCAAUUUUAUGGAAAUAGGAAAUGUUACAUGGACUGUAGAAAACAAUAUUACGAUGGAGGACAAUGCGAUUAUAUCAUAAAAGGUCCAACAACACCACUAUGUUGUUGCUACAAUUAUACCAUUGCUUUAUCCCCAAAUUGAGUAAUAUACUAUGCUUUGUUACCUACCUGUUUAUGUCUUGACUUGUAGUCAUCUAUACCCUAAUCAUUAUUGUUUCAAAAUUGUAAACAAACUUUACUCAACCAGAUUCAAUUAGAAAUAAUAAAUUAAAAUCAAUUUAAGAAUUUUUUUUUUAAAAUGUAUGUUUCCUAAAGCUUGGUUCUACGAUUGGAUGUGUUUCUUAACUCAUCUUGUUGCUCAGAAAUGAGAUAAACUCUUGUUUUAUGAUUCUAAAUUUCCUAAUAACUUGAAUAUCAUAAUCUCAUAACAAAAAAAAACAUAAGAGACAAGUUUGAGAUGAAAAUAGGAAAAUUCAUAGUAAAGGGUAUUUAAGUGCAAAUGAUAUGGGUUGAAGGGUGUUUCUAAAUAAUAUAAUUGAUAGAUUUGACCUAACAUUCAUUUAAUAUUGGGAUAGACUUAACAUUAGCAUAAGCCCAAAAUGGACAAUUUAACAAAUCAAACAUUCAUAUAAUUUUCAAACACAAAUUUCUAUUAAAAAUCCCAUAUUAGCUCAAAACAUUUAACACAUCAACUCUAGUGUUUUUGCUAUCUUCUUGACACUUUACCAUCGAUGAUUACACUUUUAUCAUCCUUGUUUCUUCUAUCUCAAUUGCAAACGAGAUCUUCAUGGAUUAUGGUGAUGAUAAGAAGAGAACCAGAAAACCGUUCGGUUAUUGGUUGCCGAACCGAAUCGAUCUAAAGACCAAAAUCCCAAAAUAUUUUCACCGGUCAGUUCCCUUCAUCCUACAUUUCCGCACCAAUAUAAAAAAAAACUCGAGUUUUCCGCUUUGUUUUUUGCCAAAUUGUCUAGGCCAAAACUUAAGCAUCAGUUCUAACAACAUUAUUUCAAGAACUAAAAAUCCUAACACAUGCCAUGACAAAAAAAUAUGAACACCAAAUGAAUGCCUAGAUUAUCCUCCUUCUCAUCGUCAUGAUCCCACUGUCAUACUUUGUCUUUAGUGAGGCAAUCCUCUUAUCAAUUGAGUUAUACACACAAGCGAUAAGACAAACAAAAGCAAACCUUGCAUCAAACAAACACAUCAGUUGCCUGCUGAGGACUAGUGUCUGUUGACACUCGCACUCAACAACUCCAGCACACCUGUCAGUGUCGAUUGGUACCCUCCCUUGGUGUUGAUUAUCACCCCCAACCAUCCUCACGACAAAGGUCAUUAAACACCCAGUCGCUCCAAUCAAUUCUCCUCGAUGGAUCUACUUUUCCAGCCUCCCCAUACACGAUUAAGACUCUCAUAAGAUCCAAACAAAGCCAUUGUAUCACAGAAACAACCACACAAGCAAAUGAAUCAAACCACACAAUCAUAGAAACACACAAACAAGGAUCAAACCGCUAAGAUAAGCCAUCAUCAUGCACUCACCUAUGAAAUAAUAGGAUUAUGACCAACCACGUCUGAUAAUCAUACCACAACAACUUUUACCCAUGAAUCUAGCCUUAUAAUUCCACUUAUAGGCUCAGAUCUCUCAAGAACAACCACCAAACUCUUAUGAGAACGACAAAGUGGCUGCUAAAACACACUAGGGCGUCGAGUUUUUCCUUUUAAACGAGCCAUUGGGUUUAGCCAAAUCAAGCCAAGCCAACUGCAGAAUCAGAAAUCAAACCGAACAACCCGAAAACUUUUCGUAUCGAGCGACACCUACCAUUUGUGAUAUGAUAAUGGACCAGCAACUUGAACCUUAAGAGAAUGGAGUUAAGGAGCAGCUUAAACCCAAGGAGAAUGGAGCUACAUAAGAAGCAACAUUGCACAUUCCGAUUGGCCCGAUGAUGAGGUCUAAGACAAAGCGACUAAACCAAGCUAUCAUCAUGCUUCUACACAAGAUUGAGGGAAAUAUUAAUCAUGAAGCUUAUCCAACUAAUUUGGUUGUGAUUUAAAUUGAUUAAGCAACAUCAAUGGAGGUGUGGGACUUUCACUCUUUUUCCCUCCUCUUGGUUUUGUCCCAAUGGGUUUUCCAAUAGAGGUUUUUAAUGAGACAAGUGCACACACUCUUUCACAAGCCCAUUGUUGUGUCUUUGCCAAUGAGCGACGUUUUUAUGAAGGGGAAGAGUCAUUUUUAUUCAAACUCUAGCUAGUUUUAAUUCUCUUGUCAUUUUGAGUGUUUUUAAUGUUGUUUCAAAACUUGGUGUCUUUGUUUCCAAAAUAGCUUCUUUUCUUCUUUAUAUACUAUUUGUAAUCUCUUAUGAUAACUCAUAAAAAAAUUUUAAAUCAAAAUCUCUUUCCAAAAUGUUUGAUCUGAAGGGUGUGUAAUAUCUCUUCGUCUUGUGAGCGUUUGGUGUGUCAUAUCCAAGCCUAAGGAAGUUCGUUAGUUCAGUGGUCUUGCCGAAACCAUUAAAAGUUACAAUCGAUCCACAAGACAUUGACAGUCCGUUUUUAUCAUCAUCAUUCUCCUACGGAUUCCUUCUAUCACCAUAUCACCCUCAUUUGUCUUGUUAUUCACGAAUCUUCUUUCGUUCAUUCACAAUCCAUACAAAGGAUCACCCUCAUUUGUCUUGUUAUUCACGGAUCUUCCUUCGUUCAUUCACAAUCCAUACAAAGGGAUUGGAUCUUUUAAACGAGGAUCAUAUUACUUGGUGUAGAUUGACACCCACACCAAACUUUUGAUUAAGAUUAAUAAACUUAAAAUAAAAAUCAGUUUCUCAAAAUAAUUCAUAGUGAAAGAAAUAGUACAAUGGAUAUCCCAAAAACGCUUAUGAUUAUUUUUCUUGUAGUAAUAUUCCCAAUUUUGUUUUCAAACAACAACAUUUUGGCAAAAACUGGUUUUUUUUUUUUGUCUGUUCUAUUUGUCUUUGUUCAGUUGAAGAGAAUUUUUGAAAUCUUUGUUCUUAAAUAAAAUAAUUUAAAGUAUUUUAGUUAAAUUUAUAAUUAAGAUACUAAAAUAUUUAGUCAAACCUCAUAUUCAAUUCUAGUCAAUCAUAGUAUAUUGAUUUAUAAUCAUCAAUAAAAGAGUUGAUUAAAUUUUGAGGUUUUACUUAGGGGGGUGUAUUCAAUCUUGUAUUUUGUGUGAUUUGAGUUUCAUUAAGUUUUUAUAUGAUUUUGAUGGUUUUGGGUGACUUUAAGGGGGGUGUAUUCAAUCUAACAUUUUAAGUGAUUUGUGGAAAACCAACAAAUACAAUGUUAUUGAAUCAUUAAUUUUAAAAAAUCUUAUGAAAUCCAUUGUUAUUGAAGUAGUGAUUUGAAAAUCUAAUUUAAAAUCUUCUGAAAUCCAAUGUUAUUGAAAUAGUGAUUUGAAAAUCUAGUUUAAAAUCCACUGUUAUUGGAAAUGUUUUGAGGAUUUGGUUUUUAAAUUUUUAAAGGAUUCUACAGGAUUUUGGAGGAUUCUUUUAGUUAUAAAUUCAGAAAUCCAAAUCUCAUGGUUUUAGAUGAUAUUUGAAAGGAUUUUUAAAAUAAAUCAUAUCAAUUUACUUAGGGGGGGUGUAUUCAAUCUUGUAUUUUGUGUGAUUUGAGUUUCAUUUAGUUUUUAUAUGAUUUUGAUGGUUUUGGGUGACUUUAAGUAAGUUGAUAUGAUUUAUUUUAAAAUCCUUUCAAAUAUCAUCUAAAACCAUGAGAUUUGGAUUUCUGAAUUUAUAACUAAAAGAAUCCUCCAAAAUCCUGUAGAAUCCUUUAAAAUUUUAAAAACCAAAUCCUCAAAAACAUUUCCAAUAACAGUGGAUUUUAAACUAGAUUUUCAAAUCACUAGUUCAAUAACAUUGGAUUUCAGAAGAUUUUAAAUUAGAUUUUCAAAUCACUACUUCAAUAACAAUGGAUUUCAGAAGAUUUUUUGAAAUUCAUGAUUCAAUGAUUUGUUGGUUUUCCACAAAUCACUUAAAAUGUUAGAUUGAAUACCCCCCCCCCCCCCUUAAUGACCAAAAAACAUAUAAAUAGACCUUUUGAUGAGGAUCUAGAAACUAUUACAAAAAAAAAAAAAAAAUUCUUUCUCAAAAGAAGCAAUAGUGAAAAUAGUACAAUGAAUAUCUUUAAAAAAUUUGUGGCUGUUGUCCUUUUAGUAAUAUUGACAAUUUCGUUUUCUAACAACAACAUUUUGGCAGAAACUGGUUAGUUUUAUUUUCUAUUAAUU